ensembl:snRNA U6 U6 spliceosomal RNA
GUGCUCACUUUGGCAGCACAUAUACUAAAAUUGGAAUGAUACAGAGAAGAUUAGCAUGGUUCCUGAGCAAGGCUAAUAUGCAAAUUCGUGAAGCAUUUCAUAGUUUU